UACAUAGGUCCCGAGCGUUGUUCGGAUUUAUUGGGCGGAAAGGGUGCGUAGGCGGCGGAGUAAGUUGGGUGUGAAAUCCCGAGGCUCAACCUCGGAAUUGCAUUCAAUACUGCUUCGCUCGAGUACUGGAGAGGAGGCUGGAAUUUACGGUGUAGCAGUGAAAUGCGUAGAUAUCGUAAGGAAGGCCGGUGGCGAAAGCGAGCCUCUGGAUAGUUACUGACGCUGAUGCACGAAGGCCAGGGGAGCAAACGGG
rnacentral:rRNA from 1 species